AGCGAACGCUGGCGGCAGGCCUAACACAUGCAAGUCUAACGAACUCUUCGGAGUUAGUGGCGGACGGGUGAGUAACACGUGGGAACGUGCCUUUAGGUUCGGAAUAACUCAGGGAAACUUGUGCUAAUACCGAAUGUGCCCUUCGGGGGAAAGAUUUAUCGCCUUUAGAGCGGCCCGCGUCUGAUUAGCUAGUUGGUGAGGUAAAGGCUCACCAAGGCGACGAUCAGUAGCUGGUCUGAGAGGAUGAUCAGCCACAUUGGGACUGAGACACGGCCCAAACUCCUACGGGAGGCAGCAGUGGGGAAUCUUGCGCAAUGGGCGAAAGCCUGACGCAGCCAUGCCGCGUGAAUGAUGAAGGUCUUAGGAUUGUAAAAUUCUUUCACCGGGGACGAUAAUGACGGUACCCGGAGAAGAAGCCCCGGCUAACUUCGUG
rnacentral:rRNA from 1 species